UCUUACGGAUGAGCAAAGAAAGUGGUUUCUUGAGAUGGAAUCUAUUCUUGUGAAGAUGCUGUGAA
rnacentral:pre_miRNA from 1 species